rnacentral:ncRNA from 1 species
AUAAUGAUACUUCCGUCCAGUCACAGGCUCAAGCAAUGAGAACGGCUCUGGGAGAACCUCAGAGGGAUGAGAUUUCCAUGA